UACAGAGGUCUCAAGCGUUGUUCGGAUUCAUUGGGCGUAAAGGGUGUGUAGGUGGCGCGCUAAGUCGGGUGUGAAAUUUCGGAGCUUAACUCCGAAACUGCAUUCGAUACUGGCGUGCUUGAGGACUGGAGAGGGAUGUGGAAUUCCAGGUGUAGCGGUGAAAUGCGUAGAUAUCUGGAGGAACACCGGUGGCGAAGGCGGCAUCCUGGACCGGUAUUGACGCUGAGGCGCGAAAGCUAGGGGAGCAAACGGG
rnacentral:rRNA from 1 species